GAUGAAGAACGUAGCGAAAUGCGAUAAGUAAUGUGAAUUGCAGAAUCCAGUGAAUCAUCGAAUCUUUGAACGCACAUUGCGCCCCCUGGUAUUCCGGGGGGCAUGCCUGUCCGAGCGUCAUUACAACCCUCAAGCUCAGCUUGGUGUUGGGCCCCGCCGCCCCGGCGGGCCCUAAAGUCAGUGGCGGUGCCGUCCGGCUCCGAGCGUAGUAAUUCUUCUCGCUCUGGAGGUCCGGUCGUGUGCUCGCCAGCAACCCCCAAUUUUUUUCAGGUUGACCUCGGAUCAGGUAGGGAUACCCGCUGAACUUAAGCAUAUCAAUAAGCGGAGGA
rnacentral:misc_RNA from 1 species